GUAACUAUAACGGUCCUAAGGUAGCGAAAUUCCUUGUCGGGUAAGUUCCGACCUGCACGAAUGGCGUAAUGAUGGCCAGGCUGUCUCCACCCGAGACUCAGUGAAAUUGAACUCGCUGUGAAGAUGCAGUGUACCCGCGGCAAGACGGAAAGACCCCGUGAACCUUUACUAUAGCUUGACACUGAACAUUGAGCCUUGAUGUGUAGGAUAGGUGGGAGGCUUUGAAGUGUGGACGCCAGUCUGCAUGGAGCCGACCUUGAAAUACCACCCUUUAAUGUUUGAUGUUCUAACGUUGACCCGUAAUCCGGGUUGCGGACAGUGUCUGGUGGGUAGUUUGACUGGGGCGGUCUCCUCCUAAAGAGUAACGGAGGAGCACGAAGGUUGGCUAAUCCUGGUCGGACAUCAGGAGGUUAGUGCAAUGGCAUAAGCCAGCUUGACUGCGAGCGUGACGGCGCGAGCAGGUGCGAAAGCAGGUCAUAGUGAUCCGGUGGUUCUGAAUGGAAGGGCCAUCGCUCAACGGAUAAAAGGUACUCCGGGGAUAACAGGCUGAUACCGCCCAAGAGUUCAUAUCGACGGCGGUGUUUGGCACCUCGAUGUCGGCUCAUCACAUCCUGGGGCUGAAGUAGGUCCCAAGGGUAUGGCUGUUCGCCAUUUAAAGUGGUACGCGAGCUGGGUUUAGAACGUCGUGAGACAGUUCGGUCCCUAUCUGCCGUGGGCGCUGGAGAACUGAGGGGGGCUGCUCCUAGUACGAGAGGACCGGAGUGGACGCAUCACUGGUGUUCGGGUUGUCAUGCCAAUGGCACUGCCCGGUAGCUAAAUGCGGAAGAGAUAAGUGCUGAAAGCAUCUAAGCACGAAACUUGCC
rnacentral:rRNA from 1 species